rnacentral:lncRNA from 1 species
UCUAUUGUAAAAUGUUGAGAUUCGUCCCUUGUUUCUGUGUUGUCGUUUAUUGUUUCUGGACCACUCUCUCUCGAAGCCCCAAGGCCAAGGCUGGGGUGGAGAUGACGAUAUUGCUAUUUUUCCGAUCUACUUCAUUAACUCUACACUGCUUCUGAAAGUGAUUUUAAAUAAUUGCAGAUGUUAAACUAGCUACUGCCUAUUUAUUCUCAAAUCGACUAACUCCAUUCGCAUAAGUAUUUCUUUUAUAUCAAAAAUAUAAAUUAUCUUCGCUUCAAAAAAAAAAAAGAAAUUAUCUUCGACCGUCAUUUCACC